CUUUCUGUUGCUGUCAGCAUCAUCUCAACCAAAGUUUUCACCACGGCAGUGGGAGUUCAUCCUAGAAGCAGCGGUUAAUUCUAGAAUACGACAAUUUACUUUAUUCUCAACACUUUCAUGAUAAACCUCAUCACAUCUUAACAAGAAGCCAGCAUCACCUCUCCAGUGCCUUUUCUCCAGAGGUCCUUAUCCUAGCUCUGCUGAGCUCCAUUUCCAAACCCUGCAACACUAGUGCCAGGCAAACAGCAUCCCCACCUCAUAUUUACAAAGAUCAUCUCACUCCAUUACAUCAAUUUCAGAAGUUUCGGGUUUCUAGACAUGUUGGUAAGAGCCCCCAUCGCUAGAGGCUAACUGAGUAAAAUUUUCUUUCUAAAUGGUGGCUGGUUAUGGAGUUUCUGUAAGGGAAUACACCACGGAAGCCAG
rnacentral:lncRNA from 1 species